rnacentral:lncRNA from 1 species
AUGGUGGCCUCCCUUGUAAAGCCAGGCUUGCCUGGGCAGUCACGGCUCCAGCGUUCAGGAUUCACGAUGCUAGUCAGCAACUGUGCAAACGGGGAGAAGGCUGGCAAGAUACACAGCAGCUGUAACCUGGAACCACCACUCAGGUCUGUGAGAAAGGUCCAUGGCUCUGUGGCUCUGAAGUCUGGACACUUGGCCAUUCACCAGUUGUAA